UGUUAGAGAAGAAGAAGUGAGGGUUUGUUGACAUUAUCCACCAAAAUCAGGUCGUCUAUUGGGACUGCUUCCAUUGCUCUCCCUGGAAAUUAUUAAAGGAACACUAAUUCUGCCCGAAAAAGCCUUUUAUUAUUGUUAAACAACAGUUGGCUAGGGAAAGCUUGUGCAAUAUAAUUGUCAGAAGCUUUUGUGCACGCGAUCAAGCGCGUGCUUCGAAACACGAGUAAUACGGUUACAGAAGCUCCUUCAAAUCUUAAUAAGUGAGAGAGCACCUAGAAACACCUUUCGUAGGAUUGGCUCAUCUCGAAAAUAUAAAACUCUAUAGGCCAAAGUGUAAGUGUAUUCAGAAGAAAUAUUUAAAUACUUAUCUUGAAAAAUUGCCUGAGCUGGUAGGAAGACAGUGACACGGAGAACGUCGAAGGAAGAUUAAAUGUGCUAUGAAAUUCGUUUCUCCUUCCCUAUUUUAUUCAAACGAAAAUGAGCGACGAAUCAACACAGGAGUCUCAAAAACCAAACGGGUCUCCCAAUCCACCUUUCAAAGGAUCUGGUAAAACCCAGCAGAAAUCUCUUUGCAGAAUAAUACUUAUCAGAGCAUGGAUGGUGACUGCAAUAUUUUUAUUUGCUACAGGAAUGAUCUUACUUAUUUUCGGAGCAAUUUACUGGAAGAAAAACAUAGAUUUCUGUUGAACAAAAUUAAUUUUGCACCGCUGGCCAGUGCCGAAACUCUUACCCCGUCGCUGAGGUCAUCUUUCGCAAGUAUAAGUACCGCUAUCUAGUGUGUAACAAACAAAUCCUUAGUUACUUUUACUCCUCGCCUAAAUUAAUGUGUAAAAAAUAGUAUUAUCAUUAUGUUUAUUGAUAUAAUAGUAAUGGGGACUACAAACGUUUUAUCCAACUGUCAGGGUUUACAUAUGGUGAAUAAGUUAAGAAAUGAAAAGUUUAAAUACAGGCAAAAACAUACUAAACAGCAACCUCGCGAUAGCUUAGCGUUAAUCAUGAGAACUUGAAACGAUAAAACUAGAGGUUCGAUCCCUGUGGUAGACACAGCACAGAUAGCCCACCGUGCAUAUUUGUGCUUAAUUACAAAUAAACAGCAGUUGUCGAAACUUAUGCUUAUCUAAUCACUUCUGUAUUCCUUUAUAGUGUGCAGUGUUGUAAUGUAUAUUUCUUCUUCUUUUCAUUUUGCCCACCAGUGGCACAGCGGUAUGUCUGCAGACUUACAACGCUA
rnacentral:misc_RNA from 1 species